UAUUAAAGUUGUAUGAUAUAAAUAACACAAUGAAUAAAAGAACGGACACAAAUAAUUUGAGCAUUUUGUAUAAUGAUAUUUUAAAGAAGUAUAAAUCUGAAAUAUAAUUAACUGUAUGGAAUUUUCCUGAAAACAAAUAAAAUUUUGAAAA